rnacentral:rRNA from 1 species
UACGAAGGAUCCAAGCGUUGUCCGGAUUUACUGGGUUUAAAGGGAGCGUAGGCGGAUCUUUAAGUCAGUGGUGAAAGCUCUCAGCUUAACUGGGAAACUGCCAUUGAAACUGAAGAUCUCGAGUAUGGUUGAGGUUACUGGAAUGUUGCAUGUAGCGGUGAAAUGCUUAGAUAUGCAACAGAACACCAAUUGCGAAGGCAGGUAACUAAGCCAUAACUGACGCUGAGGCUCGAAAGCGUGGGGAGCAAACAGG